UGGAGGGAGGAGAGGAGGAGCAGCAGGAAGCAGGAGGUGAAGGUGGGGAGGAAUAAUGAGGAUCCACCAGAACCAGAACCACAGACCAGCCUGAAUAAUCCAAACCAAACGCAGUGAGACUCAGAUGCAGAACAAACUGCAGAUGUGGACUCUCCUAUCGGCCUGCAGGGAUCUGUCCGUCCGUCCGUCUGUCCUCCUCAGGUUUUCUGUGGAUUUGCUCUGAAUUUCCAUCUUUGGCUCGUCUGAAAGUGUCUUAAUGAUCAGGAGAAAGUCUCUCAUUCAGGGCCGAGCCGUCGUCUUUGACUCUGAAAAAUGUAAAUUCAUUCCAGAGGACUUCAUUUGGUUGGCUCUCCUCUCCCGUUCGCCUCAGGCGCGGUCGAGCUGCAGUCUUGGAAAACUUUGGAAGAUGUUUUCCAGAUCCAGAGUUUCAGUCUUCGUUCGUCUCUGGGGCGAAACGUUUUCAGGAACUUUUUAACUUGGAUCAGAGGAGAAACUGAUGAGAAAAUGAAACGUUUCUCUGGAGUUAAAACACGUCGACGGUCUGAAAGGAACAUGGCUGUUUGGUUCCUUUGGAUCGGCAGACGGAGCAGCUGAAACGGUGCGGCUGUUUCUGAUUUUCUGAAGCCUCCUGGAGGAAAGAGAAGCAGCAAAACGACAGACAGACGCGUCUGGCGUUCUGAUUGGCUGAGACUGGCUGACAUAAUGCUGCCAUCACCUGAUCGUUCUCCUGCUGACCUCCUUCUGUCUAACAUAGAAACUUCUCUGGUUCAGUUCUUCUGCUUCUGCUCUGUCUUCUCAAACCUGCAGAUGGUACUAAGCCAGGUUCUGGUUCUGGUUCUGCUGGAGGUUUCUUCCUGUUAAAGGUGUGUUUUUCCUUUCUACAUUCGUUAGAUGCAACGUCAGAAUGAGGGAGUGUGUCUGAUCCAGGAAACUUUGAGUUUCAUCUUUGCUUUUCAUAGAUAAUGUGGUUCUGUUGCCAUCAACAGGUCGUCACCUUCGUCAUGUCGUGACCUUCAUCAGGUCGUGACCUUCGUCAUGUCAGUGAUCAGCGUUGUGUUUGAAGCAGUGAUGGCGUUCCUCAGGGCUAAAAUCCCCUACAUGGGAGAGUUCAAAGGUCAAAACCACCCACCUCAGUUGGCAGUGAAACCUUUCUUCACCUGCUGUAAAAACCCGUCACACCUUCAGCCAACAUGUUGGAUCUGCCUUCGUUCAACUCUGAACUCAGCCUGAAGGAAAAUGUCCGACCUUCAGGUUGUGAUCUUAAGUUCAAGCAGAAAACCAAACUUGAGCUUUUGGAGUGGCCUAGUCAAAGUCCAAAAUAAAUCUGAUGAGUGAGGUUGUUUUGGACUGAUCCAUCCAGCAGACUCGUAAACCCAGAACUUUGUUGCUGCUGAAACGCCUCGUCCUCUUCGGAUCAACCGGUCGACCUGAUGAAACUCCUGGACCUCCUUUUCUUCUUCUCUUGCAUCGAAACAUGAACCUUCAGCUGCAGCUGAAACUCCACGCCUGGCUGGUUGUGGAAGGUUUUGUGAAAAAUGACUCCUGGUUGUCAGAGCGUCUUGUUACCCUGACAGCAGGAGGAGAAAAUGAUGCAGGAAUAUUUCUGGAUGCUGGCAGACGAAUGAAAACAGCAACAGGCUGCAGGAGGCAAUAAAUCACAGACAGAUUUGUCAUGAUUUGUGAUGUUCGCUGUCAUAUUUCCUCUCUGCUCUAGACAUGCUGGUCCAGUCAAAGGCUGCAGCUUCAUCUUCACCCAGCAGAGAUUUAUAAUCUGACGUUUAUUUAGAGAAUAACAGGAAUGAUGCAAACACUGAGACGCAGCGACACUUUUUAAUUGCAGGGUCUGUAAUUAAUGAAUUAUGGAAUUAGAUAAACUGCAUAUCGACAAAAUAAGCAACAUUUUCAAUUCAAAAACACAUUUUGCUGCUCAGUUAUUGAAUAAAUAGAAAUACAAGCUUCAUAACCAAGAUAUUUAUAGUUUUUAAUCUGGUCUUCAUGGAGCCGCUUCAGAAAUGUGAACGCUGAUAUCAGAAAUCAAUCAGCUGCAGGAUUGAUUUCUGAUUGAUCAAUACGACGAAAGAGAAACGCCUGGAUGGGUUUGUCUGAACUGAGACAUUAGAAAUGUUCUGCAGCUUGAGAAGGCCCACUUUGGCUCAGGUCAGAGGUCAGAGGUCAGCCUAAUCUCUGGUUUCCAGCUGGAAGAACUGAAGCUGAUUCUAGAUCUAUAACUCUAGAUCUAUAACUCUAGAUCAAAUAUAAUAACUUCAGUUUAGUUUCUGUUCAGCAGAAGUUAAACUAAGAUUGUAAUGUAGAGCUGUGCAUCAUCUGCGUCGUUAUGGUAACUGAUAUGAUCAUGAGCAGAUUAAUAAAUGAUUAUUUUACCAUUUUUGAGGUUUUUAGCAAAUUCUACAACCUUUAUGUUAUUUCAGGGAUUAUUCUGGAGAAAGAAAACGUCGCCAACAGAAGAAUGACCGGAAACACGUCGAGGUUUCUGGACGGGUUCAAAACAGCACAAAGAGGAAAAGAUGAGGCUCAAAGCUCAACAACUCGUCCAUAAAAACACAAAGACUCCAAAGCAACGGGACUCUGAGGAGAAGACAGUUUGUUCCUGCAGCUGGAUUCAGGUAGAAGCAGCUGAAUGGCGUCGCUUCACCUGGACUCUCGAUCAGAAGAGCAAAUGAAGACAUGAUGGGAUGAGAAACCAGGAGGAAGUGAUGCAGAGAGAGAAAGGCUGUGAUUGGCUGACCGUCGCCCCGUUCUGUAGUUAAAUGAAAGCAGAAAAGAUGUAAAACAAUCUGUCUGAAGCUCUGCAAUCAAACUUUCACUGCAGCUGUUAUUACUCUAUUAUCUGAGAGAGUGGACGGUUUCACAGCCCGAAAUUACUCUGGUUUUAGAGCGAAGUGUGUCUCUGGUGUUACAGGAAGUGACUUCCUGUGUUCGUUACGCUCCCACUAAUUAACUGUCACUCCUGUUUGUUAGAAUCACUGUCAUUUUCAUUCAGAAUGGAUGACGGCUGUCAGAUUAGUCGCCGACUUCCAGCAUCGCGAUACUAAGAAUAAAGCAGAUUAGCAUGUCUGCUGAACGGCAGAAUCUCCUGAAACCUGAGCGGAUCAGAGAACAUCGACGCUGAUCAGGUUUCAGCUAAAAAGAAGCUACAUGCUAAAAACUGAACCAAAACGUUACGGCAGUUCAUCUUCCAUCAAGGUUUAUAUAUUUGCAUUUUGAGCUAUUGCGUUAGAAAAAGCUUUGAACCUGAGAUGUUCACAGGAACCGGUGAAAAGGGCGGGGCGAGUAACGGAAACACGUAAUUGGUAAGUCACGUUAUUGCUUGGAUUUUAAUCGGUGCGUUUUGCAUCCAGUGAAAACAAACAUGUUAACAAAUAAACUGGACAGUUUGCUGUAAGUUUAGUGAUAUUUCCACAGUUGUGGUCUUGAAAUAAAGUCCUGAGUCCUCAGCGCCCGAUUCCGAGACU